GAUGAACGCUGGCGGCGUGCUUAACACAUGCAAGUCGAACGGAAAGGCCCAAGCUUGCUUGGGUACUCGAGUGGCGAACGGGUGAGUAACAAGUGGGUGAUCUGCCCUGCACUUCGGGAUAAGCCUGGGAAACUGGGUCUAAUACCGGAUAGGACGAUGGUUUGGAUGCCAUUGUGGAAAGUUUUUUCGGAGUGGGAUGAGCUCGCGGCCUAUCAGCUUGUUGGUGGGGUAAUGGCCUACCAAGGCGUCGACGGGUAGCCGGCCUGAGAGGGUGUACGGCCACAUUGGGACUGCGAUACGGCCCAGACUCCUACGGGAGGCAGCAGUGGGGAAUAUUGCACAAUGGGCGCAAGCCUGAUGCAGCGACGCCGCGUGGGGGAUGACGGCCUUCGGGUUGUAAACUCCUUUCGCUAGGGACGAAGCGUUUUGUGACGGUACCUGGAGAAGAAGCACCGGCUAACUACGUG
rnacentral:rRNA from 1 species